AAAAAAUUGUUGAAUAAGAAUAGUAACGUAAGUGUGCAAUUUAGAGAGUCAGUGGUUGGUGUGAACUGAUUUGUAGCUUAUGUGAAUGGACUUAUGAGAGUCGCUCCUAAAAAGCGAACGGGAUUUCCCACGUUAUAGGGAAGCUUGCUUUAGACGGCUAAAAGCCAUUAUAGAGCAGGCAUAAAGGUGAGAGCAUUAUGCUCUAAUAUGAGGUGGCAACGCGGUCAUAAUCGUCCUCUGC
rnacentral:ncRNA from 1 species